UUAUGAAAGCGUACAGAGGGUGUACUAUAUUGCAUAGAUUAUGAAUUAGUAAAAUCUGGCAACAUGCUAGUGUUUAUUUAGUUCUGUCUUCUGUUUUUUAAGUACAUAAGAACAACUCCAACAUCACAAGGGAAAAUAAAAGGAGGCAGCCCUGUAUUACAUGUCCCUACAAUGCAUGAUAUUACAUCUUGUUUCAUCACAAUUCAGUCGUCAUUACCAUCCAUUCAUGUAUAUCCAUUGAUUUGAAAUCUAUGGUUGAGAUGAAGGCAGCAAGCGUUUCAAAUUUCCAUAAGAUGUUUUUGAAACUUUCUCAGCCUUGUUUUUUUGCUGGAUUCUGUCACACCCUGGCUUUUAAAAUAAGACCAGAGUCGUCAUAUGUGUGCCCAGGAAGUCCACACAAACGACAAAGAAUAGAAAUAUCAGAAAACAAUGUUAUAUAUAGCGGAAAACAUAUUUAUAUUAACACUUACAAACAUCAGAGUACGCGGAAACAGUAGCUAAACUUCUUAGGCUCCAUUCUUCUCAGGGACGGUUGACUGGGGGCUCCGUACGCCAAGCACUUCCCAUAAGCUUCUAGAAAACUCCAUGACAUCUAUGUCCUUCUUCUGAGCAGCACUUUACUACACACUGGGGGUGUGGGGGUAAUAGCAAGGGUGAGUUCAUGUCGAACUCAAC
rnacentral:lncRNA from 1 species